ACGCUGGCGGCGUGCUUAACACAUGCAAGUCGAACGAUGAAACCUAGCUUGCUAGGUGGAUUAGUGGCGCACGGGUGAGUAAUAUAUAGAUAACGUGCCUCUUAGUCUGGGAUAGCCAUUGGAAACGAUGAUUAAUACUAGAUACUCCUUCUUUCUAUAAUGAGAGUUGGGAAAGUUUUUCGCUAAGAGAUCGGUCUAUACCCCAUCAGCUUGUUGGUAGUGUAAGAGACUACCAAGGCAAUGACGGGUAGCGGGUUUGAGAGGAUGAUCCGCCACACUGGUACUGAGACACGGACCAGACUCCUACGGGAGGCAGCAGUGAGGAAUAUUGCACAAUGGAGGAAACUCUGAUGCAGCAACGCCGCGUGGAGGAUGACGCAUUUCGGUGUGUAAACUCCUUUUAUAUGUCAAGAAAAUGACGGUAGCAUAUGAAUAAGCACCGGCUAACUCCGUGCCAGCAGCCGCGGUAAUACGGAGGGUGCAAGCGUUAUUCGGAAUCACUGGGCGUAAAGGACGCGUAGGCGGGAUAGUAAGUCUGAUGUGAAAUCCUAUGGCUCAACCAUAGAACUGCAUUGGAAACUACUGACCUAGAGUAUGGGAGGGGGGAGAUGGAAUUUAGGKGGUGUUUAGAGGUGGUAAAAUCCCGUARWUAUCACACUAGGAWUACCGAAAGCGAAGGCGAUCUCCUGGAACAAUACUGACGCUAAGGCGUGAAAGCGUGGGGAGCAAACGGGAUUAGAUACCCCGGUAGUCCACGCCCUAAACGAUGUUCACUAGUCGUCGGGAUGCUAGUCAUCUCGGUGAUGCACUUAACAGAUUAAGUGAACCGCCUGGGGAGUACGGUC
rnacentral:rRNA from 1 species